GCACUCUCCUCUGUGAUGGCCCACACCCUGUGGAGUGUGCUUCUGUCGGAAUCCGAACAAAUCCACCUCUUACCUAUCACUGCGUCUCUCACUGGAUUUUUGUAAUGAGACAUCAGAGCCUGAGCUUCAUUAGGUCCCGAAGCCAGUCACCAUGGGUUUUGGCUGGGCUCAAGUCCCAGGAGAGAGGAGCUAAAGGACGGGAGGAAAAAACAGUGGGAAAAAUGUGCCCUUCAUAACCUGCUGGAAGAUCUGCUAAACACCUGACCUAUGCUCACAGUUUUCAUUGGCCUGAUCCUUGGCACAAAGAAGAUUAAGGACUGAAGAACCCCCAUCUGCUUGGGCAACAGCUACUAGGGCACCGCAGAUAGUGGAGCCUUCAGGAUACCAUGGUGCACCCGCUGCUGCUUGCCUGCUCGCAGGUGGUUCAAGGAAACAAGAAACAAGAGCUUGUAAAGGAAUUAAGAUUUCAUUAGCCAUAUGUCCUUCCAGCCAUAGGAGCGAGGACUUUCUACCUUAACUGGAGGUCUUCUGGAGUCUGAGACAGCUGCGUGAGCUUUCUGCCAAGUUUGUUUUUGCUGUCCUGGUUUCCAGCACGGAUAUUAUUUCCUAAAUUCAUUUAGGACUUGGAGGACAGCAAAAUGAUGUAGAAGACAGACAUAGAGUUAGAAAACAAAGGGCGUGAUGUCUGUUUAGUGUUGUUUGGAUGAUCUCAUGGUAUGUUUUUAUGCUUUUAUUUUACUUUAAAUUAUAUUUAACUUACAGAGCUAAAGAUAUGAAAUUAAAUUGACUUACAGAGUUAGAAAUAAUUUAUAACUCAUCCUGUUCUAGAAUGUAUUCAGGUGCCAUGAAUCAUAGUUAGCUAAAUGUUUCUAUACUCCUUCAUCUGUCCAAACUAGAUUGUCCAACUCUUGGGGCCAGAGACAGUUCCAGCCAUCUCUGUUUCUCCAGCAGCACCCAGUAGUUCAAUUUCAAAAAAUUAUUUAUUUACUUAUGGUUGUGCUGGGUCUUGGUUGCUGUACCUGGGCUUUCUCUAAUUGUGGCAAGCAGGGGCAGCUCUUCAGUGCAGUGCCC
ensembl:lncRNA